rnacentral:rRNA from 1 species
AACGUAGGAGACAAACGUUAUCCGGAGUUACUGGGCGUAAAGGGCGUGUAGGUGGUUUUGUAAGUCUGGCGUGAAAUUUUUCGGCUUAACCGGGAAAGGUCGUCGGAUACUGCAAGGCUAGAGGACGGUAGAGGCGUGUGGAAUUCCGGGUGUAGUGGUGAAAUGCGUAGAGAUCCGGAGGAACACCAGUGGCGAAGGCGACACGCUGGGCCGUACCUGACACUGAUGCGCGACAGCAUGGGGAGCAAACGAGG